UCGGAUAUUUUUUGUACCACCCUACAAGAUCCGUUCGGGUAUUUUUAUAUUUCAGAUCGGAUAAUGGGUCGAGUUUUUCGGUUCGGGUUCGGUUCGAAUUUCGAGUUCCGGAUUUUAUGCCUAGGCCUGCUCAAUGUAAUCCCACGAGUGCGACUUUCCUUAAUUCUAUGCCAUAAAUCUCAGAUGUAAUUAAUAGUCGUUAGGUAAAUUAUGGAUACUCCAUUGACUAUGUUAAUUCAACGUUUUGGGGAAAUCUCUUUGGUUUAGUGAUUUUCCUAAACUUUCAUUAAUGUUUCUACGCUAAUUUUUUGGAUUUGGAAUCCAAAAAUAUCAAUUAUGCAGAGUGAAAAACUUCUAUGAAAUUUUUAGUAUGAAAACAAAACAAAAAAAGAAUUUUUUAGUAUGAUGCAAAAUAGAACCUUUAAGUAUGAAUCUUCAUAAAAAAAAAAGGGUAUGAAUCUUCAUAAAACAACUCAGUAUGGUGAAAAUAGAAACAAAUAAAUUUGUAGAUUGUAGAAGUAAUAUUUUGUAAUUUGUUUUAACAUUUAGACCAAUUUUUUUUUUUUUUGUAAUUUGUGAUAGAAUAAAUUAUAUUCAACAUUAGUUUUCCAAAAAAAAAUAAUGUUCCAGAAAAAACAUUCAACAUUAAUUAAUAGGGAUGCCGGUUAAGAUUCUAAUUUGAACCGGUCAGAUGGUAACCAAUUUUGGUUUGGCUAGAAAUCUAUUUCGUGUCCCAACUUCGCCUUUACUCCUUUUCUCACAACAACUUUCAAAAGCUCUGAGAUCUCAGAUUCGACGCCGUUGGUUAUCUAUCUCCGUCGCAUAAUCUGAGAGUAAAUGGAUAAGGAGGCAGCUGAAACUGCGAGGGACUCGCUGGAGCUUGCGUUUCGAAUGUCCAACAUCUUGGAGACUGGUCUCGAUCGACAUACCUUGUCCGUUUUGAUUGCUCUUUGCGAUCUUGGUCUUAACCCUGAGGCUUUAGCUGCUGUCGUCAAGGAGCUCCGACAAGAGUCCGGCAACAACCACGGAAACAGCAGCUUAGCAUAGAUUAGUUCGAAUCCUUUUGUUUCACUAUGCUUUUCUGUAAGAUUUUGACAAAUCUGAAGUUUGAUGCUUUGAUGUUCUGUCAUUUGAUAUAAUUGAUUUAAGGCUUCACUUCCAAAAA